rnacentral:rRNA from 1 species
AUACAUGCAAGUCGAACGCUUUUUCUUUCACCGGAGCUUGCUCCACCGAAAGAAAAAGAGUGGCGAACGGGUGAGUAACACGUGGGUAACCUGCCCAUCAGAAGGGGAUAACACUUGGAAACAGGUGCUAAUACCGUAUAACACUAUUUUCCGCAUGGAAGAAAGUUGAAAGGCGCUUUUGCGUCACUGAUGGAUGGACCCGCGGUGCAUUAGCUAGUUGGUGAGGUAACGGCUCACCAAGGCAACGAUGCAUAGCCGACCUGAGAGGGUGAUCGGCCACACUGGGACUGAGACACGGCCCAGACUCCUACGGGAGGCAGCAGUAGGGAAUCUUCGGCAAUGGACGAAAGUCUGACCGAGCAACGCCGCGUGAGUGAAGAAGGUUUUCGGAUCGUAAAACUCUGUUGUUAGAGAAGAACAAGGAUGAGAGUAAAAUGUUCAUCCCUUGACGGUAUCUAACCAGAAAGCCACGGCUAACUACGUGCCAGCAGCCGCGGUAAUACGUAGGUGGCAAGCGUUGUCCGGAUUUAUUGGGCGUAAAGCGAGCGCAGGCGGUUUCUUAAGUCUGAUGUGAAAGCCCCCGGCUCAACCGGGGAGGGUCAUUGGAAACUGGGAGACUUGAGUGCAGAAGAGGAGAGUGGAAUUCCAUGUGUAGCGGUGAAAUGCGUAGAUAUAUGGAGGAACACCAGUGGCGAAGGCGGCUCUCUGGUCUGUAACUGACGCUGAGGCUCGAAAGCGUGGGGAGCGAACAGGAUUAGAUACCCUGGUAGUCCACGCCGUAAACGAUGAGUGCUAAGUGUUGGAGGGUUUCCGCCCUUCAGUGCUGCAGC